GUACAUAAAAUUGAAUCAUAUCAUAAGCAAACAACAAAAUAUGUUAUGACUAAGAAGGAUUGCACAUACAUUAAUAAGACACAAGCAGCCAUCAACAAUAAACAGAACCAAAAGCAUAGGCAGGAAUUGCUAUUAGAUACUUGAAAUUGGUACCUUAAUUGCAGCCUAAAUUGUUGACAAAUUAGCUAGCUCAAUUUCACAUUUGAAUUGAAGGAUGCAUAAUUGACUCCCAAGACCUGGGUUAAUUUGUACCAACCAAUAUGGUCGGAAAAUGCUUGCUUGUGUGAUAUGCAUGAAUGUGUCAAUUUCUUUAAGAAUGGAAUUCUUGUCGAUGACAAUUCAAUGCUCUAAUAAUAAUGCUCCUAGAAGAUCUCAAUUACUUGUUUUAAAGCAUCAGCUAUUGCUGCUGCUGCCAAUUGUGUUUCCAUAAACCAGUCAUUAGAGAACUAUUAAUGCAUCUAAAUCAAUCAAACAGUGGCUGAUGUGCACGCCGCGCACAAACAUGAUUAGGUAUAGAUUGCUACAACUAAUAGUUUUUGUUCUCGGGGCUUAGUUUUUCGUAGUAGCAUUUAAGAAAGAUUAAGUAUUACGUGAAUGGAAUUUGAAUUGACUAGCAGUGGUACUGCCCAGAUCUGAAGUGCAUUUCAACAACGAGUUUCUAUGAUAAUAGACACCAGAUCUGAAGUGUGUACACAAAACUCGUAAAAAUAACAUCCGAAAGAAAUAUAUCUAUUAUACCUGAAGUGCAACCUUGGAUCCAACGAAAAGAGGGAUCCAUUUGCUGUGCUCCAAACGGCAGCCUCUGCGGUGCACUUGAACUGAAAAAAAAAUUAAAAAAAAAGAAAUCCCUAAGGAAGAUAGUAAACUUAUUACAUUCAGCCAGUACGGGAAUUCCGUAUCCUCAAAACCUGGUUCCAUUCUCGCAACUCUUCGAAUUUGAGCGGAAAUUUUCAGAGAAAAGCGCUCGACUCCCAUGGCUUUCGCGGUGCCUGGAUGGAGAAUUGGAGAAGAAAAUGUCAUUUGAAUCUUUGAGUUUUAUAGGGCUGGGCCUAACUCGGUUCGAGUCGGUUCUGAAAACCAAUCGGUUUUUUAAAACUAAAACCAAACACAAACCGAGUUGGAGACCGAACCGAAUCAAAUUAAUACGGUUCGGUUCAUAUCGGUUCAAUUUUCCCCUUUUUAAUUACUCAAAAAUUUCAGCCUAAAUUUAAUUCUUUUUACAUCCCAAUUUAAAUAUAACCACACAAAAUUUUAAAUAAAAUUUUCUUGUAAUUACUAUAAUCGAUAUUUUUUAAAACGAAUUUUAGAAUUUAGAUGAAUCAUCUUCAACUUCAUGAUAGACAAGAGACUCAUUCUCAUCUUGAAUUUUGUUUUUUUUUUAAAUUUGAACUCUUGCUUGAAGACUUAGAUAUCUGCAAGGAUGAGUUAAUCUGAAAAAAAUAGAUAAUUGAUUAAUCAAGCAGCAUUAAUGAAGAUAAAUUUAUUCCAUGUUUUUAUUCUUUACGUUUACAGACAUUAUAAUUACAUUUAUAUAUUUAAUAGAGAAACAUAUAAAUCAAAUUGUCUAACAAGAGAAAAUUAUGCUAUCACCAAGUCUUCCAUUGAAACUUCGAGGAAUAGUUUUGUAUUUGGGAAGAAUAAGCAAAGUUUCCACAUAUAACAUUGCAUUUUGAAUUUCAUUAAUAUGCAUUGCAUGUUUUGAGAAGAAUAAAUUGCAAUGAAGCACAUUGCAGGUGGAUUAAAUGUAACCUGGAAACACACCAAACCCAAGUAUUAGUAGAGGUAAGAUUAUUUAUAUUAUUUUUUCCCUCAUGUCUCUUGGAUUAGGCUACACGUACAGUGCAAUUAAAAAAAAAAGCUACAGUAAACAGAAACAACAGCAUUGAAAGCAUUUAAAAUUAAACAAAGUAACAAUCUCAAUCCCUAAGAGCUAUACCUUCAACUUAAAUCACUAGAUAUCACAUAAGUGAAAAAAUCAACUUUAAAACCUAUUGAGAGAGAGCGAGAGAGAGAGCUCAAAAACUCAAAAACACAUCUUAAAUCCUUCAACCUCUGCGUACAAUAAGUAAGAAGUAACUCUGCGACAGAAUGAUGAGACGACAAAGAUAUGACGUUGCACGGCGACGGGCUGUGAGAAAACCGGAAGGAAUUGCUAAUGGCCCACGACAACGGUUGUAAGAACACGGCAAAGAGUUGCUAAUGGGCAACGAAGACGGUUGUGAGACAAACGAUGGAAGUGAGAGAGAAGAAAGAUAAUGGUAGUUGGGGGGAUGUUGAUGUUAUUAAUAAUUUUUACUAGUUAUAUUAAGUUACUGAUAUUAUACAAGGCAACUUUAUUGUUGAUGUUAUUAAUAAUUUUUAAUGAGUGGUGCUAUUGCCAAAAUCAUAAGCGAUUUUGGAGAUGGAACCGGCGAUUUUUGCCCUAGUUUGAAGCUCAAACAGACUGACUAUAUCAUGCCAAGAAAGAAUUUCCCAGUCUGGGAUUUGAUAUGCCAAAAUCAUAAGCUCAUAAAGGCAGACAUACAUGAAUGGUAUGAUGGACAAGAGCUGCAACAUGCGCUGCUCCAACUUAUUAACUCAAAUGUUAUUAUUUCUAAAGAACAACACGACGGCGACGACAAUGGCGAUUCCACUCAGCUAGUUACAGUUGACUGCAAGCUUCAUAAAAUUCCAGUCUCUACCCAUUGAGUGUAGCAGAUAUUAUCAAUGUAGCCGAUGUUGUAGAAUUGAUGUUAAUGUCACAUUUCAUCCGGCUGGUUUCAGCCUUAGCAAUUAAUGUUCAAGGUGUUUGUUGCUGAAUGAAAUUGAAUGAAAAUUUACAAAUAUAAGAUGGCUUCAAUUUUUUAUUUUAUUUUAUUUUAUUAUUAUUUUAGUUUGCUUGUUGCCUUGUUAAAGUUCUGGCCACUUAAGACAGUUAUACAAAUGAGAUUGAAAAAAGGGGAUCCCAAAUCAUGUAAUCAUGAAAUUAAUGGAAUGAAAAUGACUAGUAAUAUAAUUCGAGAAAGGUAUAUAUAGAAUUGCUAUCUAAUUGACUCUUGCUACACCGAUCGUUCCUCGCAUAUUAGCCAUAAUUUUGAAUUAUUUAGGAUAAAUUUUAGAUUAUUCCACUCAUGAAUUAACUAUCUUCAAAUUAUUUCUUUAUUUUUUAAAACUUAAAGUUACUCCCUAAAUCUUAUUAUUUCCCAUUAAUUUUAAUGAUUAAAAGGAUAAAUAGUAUUUAAAAAAUUUGAAACAUUCAAUUAAUUGAAAGAAAACAAACUUUUCUAUUUUUUUUCACUCUUUUAUAUUUAUUAUUAGACAAAAUGACUAAUACUCCUUACUUAUAUUUUGGAGAACAAAGAUACUUCAACAUAAAUUAAAUUAAUUUUCAGUUAAUUUCAAAAAAAUCAAAAUUCAUUUGUUAAUGUUCAUUCACCUUCAUCUAAUAAAACUCACUCUCUUCUAUAUAUAAAUACAGCACAACCGCAACAUUCUCUCUCCCAAAAUUUUUGUUGAUAAAUAAUUUUAAAUCAACAAUCCGUAAAUAAAAACUAAAGUAAAACUAAAAUCUAAUUAAAAUCUAAACAAGUUUUGCAAUAACUUGAUUAGUUUUGAAGUCAAAAUUCCAUAUUUGAAAAUGCUCUGAAUAGUUAUCGAUUAUAGUUGAUUGUCAUGGUCAAGAAAAUUCUAAGAACUCAAAGGCAAUCAAAGCCGUGGCCAUGGAUACCAAACCCAUGGCUGCUUAAAAAUCGAUAAUUAACAAAAAAAUUGUUAAAAAGGAGACAUUUUUGUUCUUUAGCAAAUCAACUACGGUCAAUUGUUAAAGUAAGUUAUUUUAAGGUAAUUUGAAAUUUUCAAAUGUAAGGAGGUAAUAUAAAGAUAAUCAAUUCACAUGGGUGGAGUAAUCUGAGACUUACCCAAUUAUGUAUAUUGAAUAGACGUAUGGUUGAAAUUUAUAUAACUUUUUGCAUUUUAUUUCUUAUGUUUUACAUAUACAUGAGGAACUUAAUAUAACCCAGAUUACUUGCAUGAUUAACACAUAAUUAUUUGUAAUCUACGCAUAUUAUGCCCAAAAAUUUUCAAUUUUAAUUUUGAUGAGUAAGUAAUACACAGAAACUUGUCUGCAAAAGGUAUAUAUCAAAUAGAAAUAGACCACUCCAUUGAAAUUAGCUUUUGAAUUAUCUUGAAAUUGAAAGGCCAUUCAUAGAUUUAGUGCUCUUUUACUUUUGCUGUAUUCAGAAUUUGUCAGCUUCUCUCAUAAAUUAUCCACAAGAUUAAUUAACACUCCUGAAAGUGUUUUCCUGAAAAUGAUCUUAACUGAAUGAAUAUGGCAAUAUGAAAAGAUGCAAUUGAAUUUCCAGUUAACAAAAAGCAUAGUAGGAUUCACUUAAUAGCCUAAAAUGGUAAGAAUUAAUUGCUACAGUGAUUGAUUUCUUCGAAAGCAUAUGACAGACAUACUUCCAAAUCUUGACUGCAAAUCACAAUAGCCUAACAAGUCUAUUGCAAAUCAUGAACAAAUCCACUUUAACAAAAGGGUGUUUGAAACCUAAUCUUCCAAACAGAGAAAUAAUAAUGUCGAGCAAAGGUACCCAGCUGCAAUUGUCUUAUUGUACAAUGCACAAUGAUCCAUUUUGCUGAUUCUGGAUUUGUUUCUUUCAAUCUCAUAUUAUUCAACAUUUAAUGAUAUUCAGCUCACUAUUUUACGUAAACUUUAUUACCACAUUGUUGCACUUUUUGUUACUUUUGGGGUUUGUCGUGUUGACUCACCUCCAACAUAAGGCACGCCAAAGCAUCCAGAGGCCAGGCCUAGAGUCCCUCUCCGAGAGCAGUCAUUACACUAUUGUACAUAAAAUUGAAUCAUAUCAUAAGCAAACAACAAAAUAUGUUAUGACUAAGAAGGAUUGCACAUACAUUAAUAAGACACAAGCAGCCAUCAACAAUAAACAGAACCAAAAGCAUAGGCAGGAAUUGCUAUUAGAUACUUGAAAUUGGUACCUUAAUUGCAGCCUAAAUUGUUGACAAAUUAGCUAGCUCAAUUGCACAUUUGAAUUGAAGGAUGCAUAAUUGACUCCCAAGACCUGGGUUAAUUUGUACCAACCAAUAUGUUCGGAAUCAAUCAAACAGUGGCUGCCAAUUGUGUUUCUAUAAACCAGUCAUUAGAGAACUAUUAAUGCAUCUAAAUCAAUCAAACAGUGGCUGAUGUGCACGCCGCGCACAAACAUGAUUAGGUAUAGAUUGCUACAACUAAUAGUUUUUGUUCUCGGGGCUUAGUUUUUCGUAGUAGCAUUUAAGAAAGAUUAAGUAUUACGUGAAUGGAAUUUGAAUUGACUAGCAGUGGUACUGCCCAGAUCUGAAGUGCAUUUCAACAACGAGUUUCUAUGAUAAUAGACACCAGAUCUGAAGUGUGUACACAAAACUCGUAAAAAUAACAUCCGAAAGAAAUAUAUCUAUUAUA
rnacentral:lncRNA from 1 species